AUACAGACAUGAUCUUCAGUGUGGAGGAUACAGGCAUUCUCAUUAGUGUGGAGGAUACAGACAUUCUCUUCAGUGUGGAGGCUACAGACAUUCUCUUCAGUGUGGAGGCUACAGACAGUCUCUUCAGUCUGGAGGCUACAGACAUUCUCUUCAGUGUGGAGGCUACAGACAUUCUCAUCAGUGUAGAGGAUACAGACAUUAUCUUCAGUGUGGAGGAUACAGACAUUCUUUUCAGUGUGGAGGCUACAGGCAUUCUCAUCAGUGUGGAGGAUACAGACAUUAUCUUCAGUGUGGAGGAUACAGACAUUCUCUUCAGUGUGGAGGCUACAUACAUUCUCUUCAGUGUGGAGGCUACAGACAUUCUCUUCAGUGUGGAGGCUACAGACAUUCUCUUCAGUUUGGAGGCUACAGGCAUUCUCUUCAGUGUGGAGGAUACAGGCAUUCUCUUCAGUGUGGAGGAUACAGACAUUCUCUUCCGUGUGGAGGCUACAGGCAUUCUCUUCAGUGUGGAGGCUACAGACAUUCUCUUCAGUGUGGAGGAUACAUUCAUUCUCUUCAGUGUGGAGGCUACAGACAUUCUUUUCAGUGUGGAGGAUACAGGCAUUCUCUUCAGUGUGGAGGCUACAGGCAUUCUCUUCAGUGUGGAGGCUACAGGCAUUCUCUUCAGUGUGGAGGCUACAGACAUUCUCUUCAGUGUGGAGACUACCUACAGACAUUAUAUUCAGUGUGGAGGCUACAGACAUUCUCUUCAGUGUGGAGGCUACAGACAUUCUCUUCAGUGUGGAGGCUUCAGGCGUUUUCUUCAGUGUGGGGUCUAUAGGUGUUUCCAUUUACCUAACAUUGUGACUCAGGGGGUGGAAGGCAAGCUAUAUGGGGCAUGAAGUCUCCCAAAUAUGUACACAAUAGUUGUAUGAAAGUGGCAAAGCAGGGUAGCUUGUCCUCUAACUGUGGUGUUGGUUCAAGGCCCUGGAUGGAAAAAAGUAUUUCUAAAUAACCUAACUAGAAUGCUUUGUAAAAUGUGAAAAUGUCUGAAAAUACAAAUGUUAUUUUCUUCUGUAAUACAAUUUUUACAGAAAUUGUGUGCGAAGCAUUGCGUUGCAUCAUGUCACCAAAAUUGACUGAUAGUCCAUAAUUUCUGGUUUUGUAUAUGUAACCUCAACCCUAUGUGUUUUUCUCCCCUGCUUUCUAUCUCCCUAGGAAUGUCACCUGAGAGGCAAAGUGAGGUGGAUCCUGUUCAAUGACAAAGACAGCAGAUGAGCCUAGUUCACCUGUUCCUCUUGGACGGCCACAGGGAUGGAUGCUGUGAGGAACCUGGCUCUUGGGCUCCACCUUGAUAUGAUUCUCUAAGGGAGAAUGUACUGCAGCGCCAGCUGUGCCACCAGAGACCCUGGGUUCACGUCCAGGCUCUGUCGUAACCGGCCGCGACCUGGAGGUCCGUGGGGCGACGCACAAUUGUCAUAGCGUCGUCCGGGUUAGGGAGGGCUUGGCCGGUAGGGAUAUCCUUGUCUCAUCGCUCACCAGCGACUCCUGUGGCGGGCCGGGCGCAGUGCACGCUAGCCAGGGUUGCCAGGUGCACAGUGUUUCCUCCGACACAUUGGUGUGGCUGGUUUCCGGGUUGGAUGCGCGCUGUGUAAAGAAGCAGUGCAGCUUGGUUGGGUUGUGUAUCAGAGGACACAUGACUUUCAAUCUUCGUCUCUCCCGAGCCGGUACGGGAGUUGUAGCGAUGAGACAAGAUAGUACGAAAUUGGGGAGAAAAAGGGGGUAAAAUAUAUAUAUUUUUAAAAGAUGCUCUCAAUGGUGCAGCUGUAGAACUUUUAUAGGAUCUGAGGGCCCAUGCCACAUUUCUUCAGUCUCCUGACGGGGAAGAGGUGUUGUCGUGCCCUCUUUACGACUGUGUUGUGUGGACCAUGAUAGAUCCUUAGUGAUGUGGACACUGAGGAACUUGAGCUCUCGACCCGCUCCACUACAGACCGUCGAUGUGAAUGGGGGCGCACUCAGCCCUCAGUUUCCUGUAGUCCACGAUUAGCACCUUUGUCUUGCUGACAUUGAGGAAUAGGUUGUUGUCUUUGCACCACACUGCCAGGUCUCUGACCUCCUCCCUAUAGAACACAAUGUUAGCUCCUGCAUCAGUGCAUAGUAACAUUAUCUCUGCAUUGCAAUCAAAUCCUGCUUUGUCCUUCUGUUUUCUUCCUAGCUUAGUCUGUUACGCUUUGAGGUGAAAAGGUUUUUGCCAAAUAAUGACUACAGAUUAUAAUAAUAACAUUUCUCAGAAUAUGUAAAUAAUUAUUAUCAAAAAAUUACAGUGAAGUGUAUUUGAUAUUUGAAGUGUUUCUUUUUUUCUCAUCCAUAUUACUCUCUCUCAUUCUUCCUACCCCUCUCUUUUUCUGUUCCUUUUCCCCUCAACCUCCCUCCCAGCCUCCCUCCCACCCGCCCUAUCUGUCUCUCUGUCUGCUUCUCUGAUGGUGUUUGCAGUUGCUGGCUGUAUGCUGUGUACGCGGAUGCUGUUAUUGUAAAGAUGCCACUGCAUUAUCAUCUGUCACCCACAAAGUCAGAGCAGUGGGCUUAAUGCCACAGGAGAACAAGAGGAGGGGGAGAAAUACACCAGCACAAUUAAUGCAACUCAAUCUACAAGAACCCAACACAUGGAGACCCUCUCUUUAUGCAGAUUUCACAUAUGGAACUUGAGAACUUCAAUUGAGGUCUUAGCGAAUAGAGAAUUCUAGAAAUUGUGUUGAAAUUACUCAUUAUUAUUCAUUGAAGGUUUUUCAUAACCCUAUAGUAAAAAAGAAAUUAAAACUAGCCUACUAUUGUGAAUGACAAUUAUGUUUGUUUUUCCCUUCAUCAUUUAGUAUUCCCCUGAAGGCCCUGCACUGCAGUACUGGAGUUACAAGAUGGAGCAAACAGCAUAACCCAAUGACUCCAGAAGCCUCAUCCAGACACCAGGGAAACAGCUUACCCUAUGUUCUGUGUUACAUUACCUGAAGGGGUCAUGCUGGCGGCCCACGUCAUUGCUGAAUAAUGACAUUUUGGUCUAAUCACACUCAGAUUGAAAUUAUGUAAAUGUGGGAACAGAUGUAGAUGAGAGAGCAUUUCGGCGACACAUGGCUCCAAAUCCCACGGCUAUUACUCAAAGGAGGAACUCCAAGUACUGGCAGCAAUGCUGGAGGAAAGACUCAAUGACCCACAACAAACAAGUGGUUUCUCUGCUUGCCUGUUUUUGAUUGUGUUUAUUUGUUAUUGCCUCUGGUGGUCCAACCAAGCCUGCUGUUCAAACUUCUCACUUUGUUCUUCCGUUUUUCUAUUCUUCCCUGCAUCAAGUAAUGCUGUGGUUAAGAAAUGUAGAGUGUGAAUACACUUAGUGAUUUAAUAAUACUGUGUGUCUGUGUGGGUGUGUGACUUCUGAAGGCGUAUACAUAUUAUCAUUAGCUCUAUUUUAUGCCUCCCAGAUGUUGUCAAGAGCCUUCAAAAGAUGUGGAAAUCUCUCUGUGAUUGAACAACAGCUGUUUACAUGGAAUAUGUUGACAUUAAAUCAAGUAGUGUCUUGCAAAAGAAUCCCCUUGAAAUUCAAUCUCCUUGUGUGCACUUGACAAACACACACACACACACACACACACACACACACACACACACACACACACACACACACACACACACACACACACACACACACACACACACAUACACCAGCAUCUCUACCUGCACAUGACCAUCUGAUCAUUUAUCAUUUAUCACAUGACCAUCUGAUCAUUUAUCAUUUAUCAUUUAUCACAUGACCAUCUGAUCAUUUAUCAUUUAUCACGUGUUAAUCUGCUGAAUUGUAAUUAUUCGCCUACCUCCUCAUGCCUUUUGCACACAAUGUAUAUAGACUUUUAUUUAUUUAUUUUUUAUGUAAUUUUUUUUCCUACUGUGUUAUUGACUUGUUUAUUGUUUACUCCAUGUGUAACUCUGUGUUGCUGCCUGUUCACACUGCUAUGCUUUAUCUUGGCCAGGUCACAGUUGUAAAUGAGAACUUGUUCUCAACUAGCCUACCUGGUUAAAUAAAGGUAAAAUAAAAAAUUUAAAAAUUAAAAGUCGGAAGUUUACAUACACUUAGGUUGGAGUCAUUAAAACUCGUUUUUCAACCACUCCGCAAAUUUCUUGUUAACAAACUAGAGUUUUGGCAAGUCGGUUAGGACAUCUACUUAGUGCAUGACACAAGUAAUUUUUCCAACAAUUGUUUACAGACAGAUUAUUUCACUUAUAACUCACUGUAUCACAAUUCCAGUGGGUCAGAAGUUUACAUACACUAACUUGACUGUGCCUUCAAACAGAUUGAAAAAUUCCAGAAAAUUAGGUCAUGGCUUUAGAAGCUUCUUUAUCGCUCAGGAAGGAAGAUGAACGUCCUUAAGAUGAAUGUACUUUGUUGCGAAAAGUGCAAAUCAAUCCCAGAACAACAGCAAAGGACCAUAACAUAACAUAAACAUAACGAUGGUCAUUAUGGUCAAACAGUUCUAUUUUUGUUUCAUCAGACCAAAGGAUAUUUCUCCAAAAAGUACGAUCUUUGUUCCCAUGUGCAGUGGCAACCCCUAGUCUGGAUUUUUUAUGGCGGUUUUGGAGCAGUGGCUUCUUCCUUGCUGAGCGGCCUUUCAGGUUAUGUCGACAUAGGACUUGUUUUACUGUGGAUAUAGAUACUUUUGUACCUGUUUCCUCCAGCAUCUUCCCAAGGUACUGUACUCUAUACCAUCUACUGCAUCUUGCCAUCUUGACGUAAUAAAUGUAUCACUAGCCACUUUAAACAAUGCCACUUUCAUAUGUUUACAUACACUAGAUUACUCAUCUUAUAUGUAUAUACUGUACUCUAUAUCAUCUACUGCAUCUUGCCCAUGCCGUUCUAUACCAUCACUCAUUCAUAUAUUUUUUGAUGUACAUAUUCUUAUUCAUUCCUUUACACUUGUGUGUAUAAGGUAGUUGUUGUGAAAUUGUUAGGUUAGAUUACUCGUUGGAUAUUACUGCACUGUCGGAACUAGAAACACAAGUAUUUCGCUACACUCGCAUUAAUAUCUGCUAACCAUGUGUAUGUGACAAAUACAUUUUGAUUUGAUUUGAUUUUAGGUCCUUUGCUGUUGUUGGGAUUGAUUUGCACUUUUCACACCAAAGUACGUUCAUCUCUAGGAGACAGAACGCGUCUCCUUCCUGAGCGGUAUGACGGCUGAGCGGUCCCAUGGUGUUAAUACUUGCGUACUAUUGUUUGUACAGAUGAACGUGGUACCUUCGGAAGUUUGGAAAUUGACCCCAAGGACGAACCAGACUUGUGGAGGUCUACAAUUUUUUUCUGAGGUCUUGGCUGAUUUCUUUUGAUUUUCCCAUAAUGUCAAGCAAAGAGACACUGAGUUGGAAUGUCGGCCUUGAAAUACAUCCACAGGUACACCUGCAAUUGACUCAAAUUAUUUCAAUUAGCCUAUCAGAAGCUUCUAUAGCCAUGACAUCAUUUUCUGGAAUUUUCCAAGCUGUUUAAAGGCACAGUCAACUUAGUGUAUGUAAACUUCUGACCAACUGGAAUUGUGAUACAGUGAAUUCUAAGUGAAAUAAUCUACUUGCCAGAACUCCAGUUUGUUAACAGGAAAUUUGUGGAGUUGUUGAAAAAUUAGUUUUAAUGACUCCAACCUAAGUGUAUGUAAACUUCCGAAUUCAACUUUAUAUAUACACUACCAUUCAAAAGUUUGGGUUCACUUAGAAAUGUCCUUGUUUUUUAAAGAAAAGCACAUUUUUUGUCCAUUAAAAUAGCAUCAAAUUGAUCAGGAAUACAGUGAAGACAUUGUUAAUGUUGUAAAUAGCUAUUGGAGCAGGGAAACGGCUGAUCUAGGCAGAGUUGCAAAGAAAAAGCCAUAUCUCAGACUGGCCAAUAAAAGGAAAGGAUUAAGAUGGGCAAAAGAACACAGAGACUGGACAGAGGAACUCUGCCUAGAAGGCCAGCCUCGCCUCUUCACUGUUGACGUUGAGACUGGUGUUUUGCGGGUACUAUUUAAUGAAGCUUCCAGUUGAGGACUUGUGAGGCAUCAGUUGCUCAAACUAGACACUCUAAUGUACUUAUCCUCUUGUUCAGUAGUGCACCGGGGCCUCCCACUCCCCUUUCUAUUCUGGUUAGAGCCAAUUGGCGCUCUUCUGUUAAGGGAGUAGUACACAGCGUUGUAUGAGAUCUUCAGUUUCUUGGCAAUUUCUCGCAUGAAAUAGCCUUCAUUUCUCAGAACAAGAAUAGACUGACAAGUUUCAGAAGAAAGUUCUUUGUUUCUUGCCAUUUUGAGCCUGUAAUCGAACCCACAAAUGCUGAUGCUCCAGAACCUCAACUAGUCUAAAGAAUGCCAGUUGUAUUGCUUCUUUAAUCUGUGGUAGCCUGGUGGUUAGAGCAUUGGACUAGUAACCAGAAGGUUGCAAGUUCAAACCACUGAACUGACAAGGUACAAAUCUGUUGUUCUGCCCCUGAACAGGCAGUUAACCCACUGUUCCUAGCCUGUCAUUGAAAAUAUGAAUUUGUUCUUCACUGACUUGCCUAGUUAAAAAAAUCAGAACAACAGUUUUCAGCUGUGCUAACAUAAUUUCAAAAGGGUUUUCUAAUGAUCAAUUAACCUUUUAAAAUUAUAAACUUUGAUUAGCUAAAACUAUGUGCCAUUGGAACACAGGAGUGAUGGUUGCUGAUCAUGGGCCUCUGUACUCCUAUGUAGAUAUUACAUUUUUUCUUUAAAAUCAGCCGUUUCCAGCUACAAUAGUCAUUUACAACAUUGUAUUUCUGAUCAAUUUGAUGUUAUUUUAAUGGACAAAAAAAAUUGCUUUUCUUUCAAAGACACAGACAGUUUAUAUAUCCUAGUAGUAUCAAAUUGGAAAUAUCAAGAAACAUUUUCACUUAUUUUUACUCAUACUGAAAACCAACAGUUACAUCAAAGUUUUUUUUAAAUGUCCCUGAGAGCAACACAUUCUCUUGGUCAGAUAUUCUCUGGCUUGGUGAGACAUCCACCAGAGCCUGUUCACUGGGGAAUGUUAAAUAUCCCCUUUCCUUUGUCACCUUUACAGCUCUUAUUUAUUUGUCUGCUUUAUUAUAAUGGUGUUGGGGACAGAGGCAUCAGUAAGGUAAAUGGGUCGUAACUCGUAACUCACCAAGGGACCAUCAAUCUGGGUAAGUUGACUCCCUGUAUUGCUUACAACUGUUACUGUCAUACUAAAGCAGCACAUUAUCAAAAUCAAUGAGGAUUUAACUGCACUCCAGUUAAGCAGGUGAUUGGUGCCAUUUAAAGCAAAGAGGUACGAGGAGGCUACGGGUAAACACAAACAACAACUCCAAACACACAACUUAAGGGUCACUUGAUUGUCAUUGUUAAUAAAACUGUCACCUAAAUCAAUAAAAAUAAAUUGUAAGAUGCCAUACACUUAGAAAAACGGUUCUGGAUAUAUCCAAAAAGGUUAUAUUGUUUGCUUCAUAUAUGGCACCCCUGAAGGUUCUAUGUAGAACCCUUUUGUAUGGUUAUUUGAUCAGAACCCCAGGGGUUAUUCUUCACUGAACCAAAAUUGGUUCCUUGGGUUUAAUAUAGGAUUCUAUAUGGAGCCAAUUUUGGGUUUAGGGGUGUCAUAUGAAGCAGGCAUAGAACUGUUUUUGGUUAUAUCCAGAACCUUCCUUUCUAAGAGUGUGUGUUUGGUAAUAGAGAAUCAUUUGGAAUAUCCUCUAAAUAAUUUUUUUUUUUUCUCUGAUUCAAGUAGCUGAAUUUAUUCUUGAAAUCAAUGCCUCGAUAAAAUAUCCCUUGGAUUUUAACUAGU